UGUUAAAACAUUAAAAUGAUAGCGAUAGC
rnacentral:sRNA from 1 species